rnacentral:rRNA from 1 species
UUGCACGCUGGCGGCAGGCCUAACCCAUGCAAGUCGCGCGGAUGAAGGGAGCUUGCUCCUGGAUUCAGCGGCGGACGGGUGAGUAAUGCCUAGGAAUCUGCCUGGUAGUGGGGGAUAACGUCCGGAAACGGGCGCUAAUACCGCAUACGUCCUGAGGGAGAAAGUGGGGGAUCUUCGGACCUCACGCUAUCAGAUGAGCCUAGGUCGGAUUAGCUAGUUGGUGGGGUAAAGGCCUACCAAGGCGACGAUCCGUAACUGGUCUGAGAGGAUGAUCAGUCACACUGGAACUGAGACACGGUCCAGACUCCUACGGGAGGCAGCAGUGGGGAAUAUUGGACAAUGGGCGAAAGCCUGAUCCAGCCAUGCCGCGUGUGUGAAGAAGGUCUUCGGAUUGUAAAGCACUUUAAGUUGGGAGGAAGGGCAGUAAGUUAAGACCUUGCUGUUUUGACGUUACCAACAGAAUAAGCACCGGCUAACUUCGU